rnacentral:tRNA from 1 species
AAACAAAAAGUGCAUACUGUGCACCCUCUG